AUGGGGUGGAGCUGGAUCAUCCUCUUCCUGAUGACAGAAGCUACAGGUGUCCACUCCCAGGUCCAGUUGCAGCAGUCUGGGGCUGAGCUAAGGAGGCCUGGAGCCUCAGUGAAGAUGUCCUGCAAGACUUCAGGCUAUACAUUCACUGUCUAUGUUAUGCACUGGGUGAAGCAGAAGCCUGGGAAGGGCCUGGAGUGGGUUGGAGGGAUUGAUCUGGAAAAUGGUGACACUAAAUAUGCUCAGAAGUUCCAGGGCAAGGCCACACUGACUGCAGACAAAUCCUCCAGCACAGCCUACAUGGAGCUCAGCAGCCUGACAUCUGAGGAUUCUGCAGUCUAUUACUGUACAACAGACACAGUGUUGUAA